GAUGAACGCUGGCGGCGUGCCUAAUACAUGCAAGUCGAGCGAACAGAUAAGAAGCUUGCUUCUCUGAUGUUAGCGGCGGACGGGAGAGUAACACGUGGGUAACCUACCUAUAAGACUGGGAUAACUCCGGGAAACCGGGGCUAAUACCGGAUAAUAUUUUGAACCGCAUGGUUCAAUAGUGAAAGACGGUUUCGGCUGUCACUUAUAGAUGGACCCGCGCCGUAUUAGCUAGUUGGUAAGGUAACGGCUUACCAAGGCGACGAUACGUAGCCGACCUGAGAGGGUGAUCGGCCACACUGGAACUGAGACACGGUCCAGACUCCUACGGGAGGCAGCAGUAGGGAAUCUUCCGCAAUGGGCGAAAGCCUGACGGAGCAACGCCGCGUGAGUGAUGAAGGUCUUCGGAUCGUAAAACUCUGUUGUUAGGGAAGAACAAAUUUGUUAGUAACUGAACAAGUCUUGACGGUACCUAACCAGAAAGCCACGGCUAACUACGUGCCAGCCGCCGCAGUAA
rnacentral:rRNA from 1 species